rnacentral:rRNA from 1 species
AUUGAACGCUGGCGGCAUGCCUAACACAUGCAAGUCGAACGAGUGGCGGACGGGUGAGUAAUGUCUGGGAAACUGCCUGAUAGAGGGGGAUAACUACUGGAAACGUUAGCUAAUACCGCAUACUAUUAGAUCUGCCCAGAUGGGAUUAGCUUGUUGGUGGGGUAACGGCUCACCAAGGCGACGAUCCCUAGCUGGUCUGAGAGGAUGACCAGCCACACUGGAACUGGGAAACGGUCCAGACUCCUACGGGAGGCAGCAGUGGGGAAUAUUGCACAAUGGGCGCAAGCCUGAUGCAGCCAUGCCGCGUGUAUGAAGAAGGCCUUCGGGUUGUAAAGUACUUUCAGCAGGGAGGCGUUACCCGCAGAAGAAGCACCGGCUAACUCCGUGCCAGCAGCCGCGGUAAUUC